rnacentral:rRNA from 1 species
AUGCUAACAUCUCUGAAGAUUCUCAAAAUAAAUUGUUCAGAUAAUGUUUUGCCACUGAGCGAUGUUGAGAGUGAUGGCAUGUACCAAUUACCAAUUGAUACCCUAGAGAUUUGGCCGUGUGGUGCUACUGGGAAGGAGUUGACACGGUUGCUCUCUCAUUUCAUGAAUCUCAGCAAGUUGGCAAUAUCCUAUUGUGAGAAGAUAGCAAUGCUUCGUGUGAUGGAGCAGCAGGAGACAACAAGAACCGCAUCAUCUUCUUCAGAUAAUAAAGCGGAGCAAACACACAUUGAACAGCAGCAGCAGCACAGACAAGAGGAGAGGAGGAAAUAG